UACGGGGGGGGCAAGCGUUGUUCGGAAUUACUGGGCGUAAAGCGUGCGUAGGUGGUUCGUUAAGUCUGAUGUGAAAGCCCUGGGCUCAACCUGGGAAUGGCAUUGGAAACUGGCGACCUAGAGUGCGGUAGAGGGUAGUGGAAUUCCCGGUGUAGCAGUGAAAUGCGUAGAGAUCGGGAGGAACAUCUGUGGCGAAGGCGACUGCCUGGACCAGCACUGACACUGAGGCACGAAAGCGUGGGGAGCAAACAGG
rnacentral:rRNA from 1 species